GGAAGAGCCCAGCACCGAAUCCCCUGGUUCUGCGCUAGCGGGAAUUGUGGUGUUUGGGACGCCUAUCGGCGCUGUGUCCCUGUGCCCAAGUCCUUCUGAUCGGGGCCUUUCCCAUAGUGGGUGUCAGGCCUUUAGCGGCACGGGACUAAGCGUCCUUGAGCGUCCUUGGAGUCGGGUUGUUUGGGAAUGCAGCCCUAAGUGGGUGGUAAACUCC
rnacentral:rRNA from 1 species